UGUGACAGUUUAACAGUUUUAUUUCCCAGCCUCCUUUGAAGCUAGAAGCGGCCAUGUGAUAUGAAUAUGGUCUUAUCACCAAUAAGUUGAUGUGGAACUCCCUUUCUGUAUUGAAUUGACUAAUGGCCCUCAGAAGAUUUGCCCACAUUCAAAUCCCUGACACCUGUGAAUGUUACCAUAUUUGGAAAAAAAGAUCAUUACAGAAGUAAUUAGAUUAAGGAUCUUGAGAUGACAGCAUCAUGGAUUAUCCAGAUGAGGAAGGAAAUCAAGGCACAGACAAGUUAAGAAAUUUUCCCAGAACGAUGCAACCAGUGAGAGAUUCAUAAUGUAAGCCUAAGAGACUGCCUUCAACAACCAUGUUCUUGACAACCAUGCUAUGAAGAAUGUGUCAUGCUGAC